CUUUGGGGCAUUUAAUUAUAAGAAACAUACAUACAAUUAUCUGUUAAAUGUGGAUGUUUUGUCACCUGCUUUCAUUUCAAUAAAUGUGCAAAUAAUUGAAUGUUUCAGCAAAAAUCAGAGAUUAGACAAAAACUGCGUUUAAUGAUGUCACAUCCCCUCAGACGUUUCUGCUGCUCCCAUUGGAUGUUGGAAGUCACAUGACUGCUGGAUGAGGAAGUAUCUGGAAGAACAGGUGUAUAAGUGAGGCAGCAUGGGGAGUUUUCAGCUCGCUAUACCUGGCUACAGCAGCAACAAGCUGCUGAUACUCGUGAUUUUACUUGAGCAGCAGUUUUAGUGAAGACGUUUCUGCUGCUCCCAUUGGAUGUUGGAAGUCACAUGACUGCUGGAUGAGGAAGUAUCUGGAAGAACAGGUGUAUAAGUGAGGCAGCAUGGGGAGUUUUCAGCUCGCUAUACCUGGCCUACAGGUUAUUGUGAAGAAAAAGGAAGUUAUCAAGCCAAUUUCAUAAAGAAAUUCAAACUUCCAGCGGCUACAACAGCAACAAGCUGCUGAUGCUCAUGUGCUUUUACUGGAGCAGGAGUUAUAUUGAAGUGUAAUCUGUUACCAGGAGCGUCCAGAUGGAGGCGGUGUGGCUCUUCCCUCAGAGCAGACAUGACUCACCACAGCUGACUCGUGCUGCAGCAUCACUUCAUUAUCUCAUUCACAAAAAAAAAAAAAAAAAUACAACCAUUAACUCCUCGGCGGGGCACUUGUGAGGAAUAUCAACUAAAUGAAAGGCUGCGAGAGCCAUAAAAGCAGCGCAAUCACAUCGAGCUACUUAAUUUGAUGGACUAUUUUAUCUGGAUACGCUGCAUUUAUUGUAUCUCCAUUAAAAGGUCAUGUUGGCUCUAAAUCAAGACGCUUAAUGGCCUGAGCAUUUGCCAACAGUAAGGGGAGAAAAAUAGCAAUUGUUAGAAGACAAACAGCCAGCACUGUUAAAAUAAUUGAAAGUAAUGAAAAGGAUUGGACGAUAGAAAACUUUAAGUCAAUAUAGUAUAUAAGCCCCAUUCAUAUGCAUUUCCAUAAUAGUAGCAGGUUUAUUUGCAUAUUUAAAAGAUAUAGAAAUGGGUGUCUUUCCAAUAUAUUCCUAAUAUUAAUAUCUGCAGAGAAAUUUAUUAGUAAAAAGUAAAAUUUCCCAGCUUUAGUGUCUAUUUUCUAAAUCAACAAAUUGAACUAAAAAGUUUCAGAAAAUAUGAAAAAAAUACAAUAAACCUCACAAUAAAUUGAUUUUUUUUCCCCAAGUUUUUGAAAUAAUCAGUUGAGCUGCAGAAAUCAUCAAAUUCAACAAUAGAUGUGAAGAAAUGACAUGAAAUCUCACAAUUUCUGGCAAUUUAUUCCAAAAAACCUCUAGGAUUUUUCAACUUAACUGUGUGUUUUCUGAAGCAAUCGAACCACUGAGCUGCAGAAAUCCUCAAACUGAACAUAAAAGUUUCAGAAAAUGUGAAAAACUAACAUUCAAUAUCUACAUUUGUUGAGAGAUUUAAUGUAAUUUCUAGCAAUUUAUCAUUAAAAAGCAGGAAUUCUUAACUUUGGUGACUGUUUUAAAUAUUAAUCAAACUUCUGAGCUGCAAAAAUCACCAAAUUGUACAAGAAAGUUUCAGUUAAUAUGAAGAAAUUACAUUAAAUAUCACUGUUUCUUUUGAAAUUUAAUGACAUUUCUAGCAAUUUAUUUUAAAAGGCU
ensembl:lncRNA